rnacentral:lncRNA from 1 species
CCGUGUGGCUUUUUAGCUUUCCUUCAUUCCGUAUAUGCCCAGUUCCCUCUGUGUCUUACUGGCAUCUCUUGUGCACCUAGAUUCAUCUCCAGUUCCUUUCUCUUCACAGAAGUCCCGCCUAUUUUCUCCAGCCUAGCUAUUGGCCAUUCAGCUCUUUAUUAAACCAAUCAGAAGGCACCAUUUGCACAGUGUGAUCAAAUAUCCUACAAUAGCUUUUGGUUGUGGUUUUAUCAUGGGGACAAAAAAAGAGUAAUGAGGGAAAGAAAACCCUCUUUCUAUUUUUAUGAUGACAAAACCUUCUGCCUGUGGCCUGCCCAUUUCAGCCAAGAAUGGUAGACACUUUUAUGGAGAGACUCCCAUAUUUCACAGUACCCUUUCUUUGACUCCUGUCAUUUCAGCCACAUGCAUCAUGACCUGAAGAUAAGCUUACCCUCAAAGGCAUUCCACAUCUUUUCUUCUUAAACUACGACCUUAAAGUGUAUAUGCUUAAGAAUGUACUGCUUAGCUGAGCUGCGACUACCUGAAAAUACUUGUAGGUUGGAUGUGUACAGCCACCUGGAGUGCUCACCACCAUGGAUCUCCACACUUCCCUGUCAGGCUCUCCUUCCUGCUGCGUUUAACCCAAGAGUGCGUGCCCAUCAGUGUGGAGCCACGAACAGGGACAGGCCACAGCAACGUCACUGAUGCUCUUUAGGACAUUCUGUUUUCACUGUGGUCAUCUGUAUUUCCCCAGAGAAAACAUAAAAAGGAAGGAGAAGACUAAAGAAUCCACAACUGCCUGAGGAAGAACCACCUGCUUUCAACUGUUAAUGACUCACUGGGAAGCUUGGUUUCAACAGUCUUCCUGGGAAUGAAAUGCUUUCCAUGUGUGUGGCUGUGAGAGACCGCCUAGUAGCUCCUGCCAUCUGGAAUGGUUGUUCGGUAUCCCCAACGACAUGACUUGACCGACUUUUACUACCAUCUCCAGGAACUAAGCGAGGCCUGGAUGCUGUUUUCUCUGGAUUUCAGUUAGCAGUGAAACAGCUGAGGACACGG